rnacentral:rRNA from 1 species
CCUACGGGGGGCUGCAGUGGGGAAUAUUGGACAAUGGGGGCAACCCUGAUCCAGCCAUGCCGCGUGUGUGAAGAAGGCCCUCGGGUUGUAAAGCACUUUCAGUGAGGAAGAACGCCUGGUGGUUAAUACCCAUCAGGAAAGACAUCACUCACAGAAGAAGCACCGGCUAACUCCGUGCCAGCAGCCGCGGUAAUACGGAGGGUGCGAGCGUUAAUCGGAAUUACUGGGCGUAAAGCGCGCGUAGGUGGCUUGAUAAGCCGGUUGUGAAAGCCCCGGGCUCAACCUGGGAACGGCAUCCGGAACUGUCAAGCUAGAGUGCAGGAGAGGAAGGUAGAAUUCCCGGUGUAGCGGUGAAAUGCGUAGAGAUAGGGAGGAAUACCAGUGGCGAAGGCGGCCUUCUGGACUGACACUGACACUGAGGUGCGAAAGCGUGGGUAGCAAACAGGAUUAGAUACCCCAGUAGUC